rnacentral:rRNA from 1 species
CCUACGGGUGGCAGCAGUGAGGAAUAUUGGUCAAUGGACGAGAGUCUGAACCAGCCAAGUAGCGUGAAGGAUGACUGCCCUAUGGGUUGUAAACUUCUUUUAUAUGGGAAUAACAUGUUCCACGUGUGGGAUUUUGUAUGUACCAUAUGAAUAAGGAUCGGCUAACUCCGUGCCAGCAGCCGCGGUAAUACGGAGGGUCCGGGCGUUAUCCGGAUUUAUUGGGUUUAAAGGGAGCGUAGGUGGAUUGUUAAGUCAGUUGUGAAAGUGUGCGGCUCAACCGGAAAAUUGCAGUUGAUACUGGCAGUCUUGAGUCCAGUAGAGGUGGGCGGAAUUCGUGGUGUAGCGGUGAAAUGCUUAGAUAUCACGAAGAACUCCGAUUGCGAAGGCAGUUCACUGGACUGCAACUGACACUGAGGCUCGAAAGUGUGGGUAUCAAACAGGAUUAGAUACCCCUGUAGUC